GAUGAACGCUGGCGGCGUGCCUAAUACAUGCAAGUCGAGCGAACAGACGAGAAGCUUGCCUCUCUGAUGUUAACGGUGGACGGGGGAGUAAAACGUGGAGAACCUACCUAUAAGACUGGGAUAAAUUCGGGAAACCGGAGCUAAUACCGGAUCAUAUUUUGAACCACAUGGUUCAACAGUGAAAGACGGUGUUGCUGUCACUUAUAGAUGGAUCAGCCCUGCAUUAGCUAGUUGGUAAGGUAACGGCUUACCAAGGCAACGAUGCAUAGCCGACCUGAGAGGGUGGUCGCCCAGCCGGGAAGUGAGACACGGUCCAGACUCCUGGGGGGGGCAGCGGUAGGGAAUCUUCCGCGAGGGGGGAAAGGCUGACGGAGCAACGCCGCGUGAGUGAUGAAGGUCUGCGGAUCGGAAAACUCUGUUAUUAGGGAGGAACAUAUGUUUAAGUAACUGGGCACAUCUUGACGGUACCUAAUCAGAAAGCCACGGCUAACUACGUG
rnacentral:rRNA from 1 species